rnacentral:rRNA from 1 species
CGCUGGCGGCGUGCCUAACACAUGCAAGUCGAGCGAGGACAAGGGCUUCGGUCUGUCGAGCGGCGGACGGGUGAGUAACGCGUGAACAAUCUGUCCCUGACAGGGGAAUAACACUUGGAAACAGGUGCUAAUACCGCAUAAGACCACAGGGUCGCAUGAUCCAGGGGUAAAAGGAGAGAUCCGGUGAGGGGUGAGUUCGCGUCCCAUUAGAUAGUUGGUGAGGUAACGGCCCCACCAAGUCAACGAUGGGUAGCCGACCUGAGAGGGUGAUCGGCCACACUGGGACUGAGACACGGCCCAGACUCCUACGGGAGGCAGCAGUGGGGAAUAUUGGGCAAUGGGCGGGAAAAGCCUGACCCAGCAACGCCGCGUGAAGGAAGAAGGUUUUCGGAUUGUAAACUUCUGUCCUAUGGGAAGAAGUAAGUGACGGUACCAUAGGAGGAAGCCCCGGCUAACUACGUGCCAGCCGCAGC